GUAGUCUGCAACCCGACUACAUGAAGCUGGAAUCGCUAGUAAUCGCGAAUCAGCAUGCCGCGGUGAAUACGUUCCCGGGUCUUGUACACACCGCCCGUCACACCAUGGGAGUCGGAAAUGCCCGAAGCCGGUGGCCUAACCGAUAAGGGAGGAGCCGUCGAAGGCAGGUCUGAUGACUGGGGUGAAGUCGUAACAAGGUAUC
rnacentral:rRNA from 1 species